GUAAAGAGCUCGUAGGCGGUUUGUUGCGUCGGCUGUGAAAUCCCGAGGCUCAACCUCGGGUCUGCAGUCGAUACGAGCAAACUAGAGUGUUGCAGGGGAGACUGGAAUUCCUGGUGUAGCGGUGAAAUGCGCAGAUAUCAGGAGGAACACCGGUGGCGAAGGCGGGUCUCUGGGCAACAACUGACGCUGAGGAGCGAAACUUUGGGGAGCGAACAGGAUUAGAUACCCUGGUAGUCCACGCCGUAAACGUUGGGCGCUAGGUGUGGGGCUCAUUCCACGAGUUCCGUGCCGCAGCUAACGCAUUAAGCGCCCCGCCUGGGGAGUACGGCCGCAAGGUUAAAAAUCAAAGGAAUUGACGGGGGCCCGCACAAGCGGCGGAGCUUGUUGCUUAAUUCGAUGCAACGCGAAGAACCUUACCUAGGCUUGACAAGCACGGAAUUCUCCCAGAGAUGGGAGGUCCGUAAGGGCCGUGCACAGGUGGUGCAUGGUUGUCGUCAGCUCGUGUCGUGAGAUGUUGGGUUAAGUCCCGCAACGAGCGCAACCCUCGUUCUAUGUUGCCAGCACGUGAUGGUGGGGACUCAUAGGAGACUGCCGGGGUCAACUCAGAGGAAGGAGGGGACGACGUCAAGUCAUCAUGGCCCUUACGCCCAGGGCUACACAUGUGCUACAAUGGCCUAUACAACGGGUUGCUACCUGGCAACAGGAUGCCAAUCUCUUAAAGUAGGUCUCAGUUCGGAUCGGGGUCUGCAACUCGGCCCCGUGAAGUUGGAAUCGCUAGUAA
rnacentral:rRNA from 1 species